GAUGAACGCUGGCGGCGUGCCUAAUACAUGCAAGUCGAGCGAACGGACGAGAAGCUUGCUUCUCUGAUGUUAGCGGCGGACGGGUGAGUAACACGUGGAUAACCUACCUAUAAGACUGGGAUAACUUCGGGAAACCGGAGCUAAUACCGGAUAAUAUUUUGAACCGCAUGGUUCAAAAGUGAAAGACGGUCUUGCUGUCACUUAUAGAUGGAUCCGCGCUGCAUUAGCUAGUUGGUAAGGUAACGGCUUACCAAGGCAACGAUGCAUAGCCGACCUGAGAGGGUGAUCGGCCACACUGGGACUGAGUCACUGUCCAGACUCCUACGGGAGGCAGCAGUAGGGAAUCUUCCGCAAUUGGCGAAAGCCUGACGGAGCAACGCCGCGUGAGUGAUUAAGGUCUUCGGAUCGUAAAACUCUGUUAUUAGAGAAGAACAUAUGUGUAAGUAACUGUGCACAUCUUGACGGUACCUAAGCAGAAAGCCACGGCUAACUACGUG
rnacentral:rRNA from 1 species